rnacentral:rRNA from 1 species
AUUGAACGCUGGCGGCAGGCCUAACACAUGCAAGUCGGACGGUAGCACAGAGGAGCUUGCUCCUCGGGUGACGAGUGGCGGACGGGUGAGUAAUGUCAGGGGAUCCGCCCGAGAGAGGGGGAUAACCACUGGAAACGGUGGCUAAUACCGCAUAACGUCGCAAGAACAAAGAGGGGGACCUUCGGGCCUCUCACUAUCGGAUGAACCCAGAUGGGAUUAGCUAGUAGGCGGGGUAACGGCCCACCUAGGAGACGAUCCCUAGCUGGUCUGAGAGGAUGACCAGCCACACUGGAACUGAGACACGGUCCAGACUCCUACGGGAGGCAGCAGUGGGGAAUAUUGCACAAUGGGCGCAAGCCUGAUGCAGCCAUGCCGCGUGUAUGAAGAAGGCCUUCGGGUUGUAAAGUACUUUCAGCGGGGAGGAAGGCGAUAAGGUUAAUAACCUUGUCGAUUGACGUUACCCGCAGAAGAAGCACCGGCUAACUCCGUGCCAGCCGCCGCAGUAA